CUACGGGGGGCAGCAGUGGGGAAUAUUGCACAAUGGGCGGAAGCCUGAUGCAGCAACGCCGCGUGGAGGAUGACACAUUUCGGUGCGUAAACUCCUUUUAUAUAAGAAGAUAAUGACGGUAUUAUAUGAAUAAGCACCGGCUAACUCCGUGCCAGCAGCCGCGGUAAUACGGGGGGUGCAAGCGUUACUCGGAAUCACUGGGCGUAAGGAGCAUGUAGGCUGGUUUGUAAGUUGGAAGUGAAAUCCUAUGGCUUAACCAUAGAACUGCUUCCAAAACUACUUACCUAGAGUAUGGGAGAGGUAGAUGGAAUUUCUGGUGUAGGGGUAAAAUCCGUAGAGAUCAGAAGGAAUACCGAUUGCGAAGGCGAUCUACUGGAACAUUACUGACGCUCAGAUGCGAAAGCGUGGGGAGCAAACAGGAUUAGAUACCCGUGUAGUC
rnacentral:rRNA from 1 species